CCUACGGGUGGCAGCAGUGAGGAAUAUUGGUCAAUGGACGAGAGUCUGAACCAGCCAAGUAGCGUGAAGGAUGACUGCCCUAUGGGUUGUAAACUUCUUUUAUAAAGGAAUAAAACGAGGCACGUGUGCCUUUUUGCAUGUACUUUAUGAAUAAGGAUCGGCUAACUCCGUGCCAGCAGCCGCGGUAAUACGGGGGAUCCGAGCUUUAUCCGGAUUUAUUGGGUUUAAAGGGAGCGUAGAUGGGUUGUUAAGUCAGUUGUGAAAGUUUGCGGCUCAACCGUAAAAUUGCAAUUGAUACUGGCAGUCGUGAGUAGAGUUGAGGUAAGCGGAAUUCGUGGUGUAGCGGUGAAAUGCUUAGAUAUCACGAAGAACCCCGAUUGCGAAGGCAGCUUACUAAACUGUGACUGACAUUGAUGCUCGAAAGUGUGGGUAUCAAACAGGAUUAGAUACCCUUGAAGUC
rnacentral:rRNA from 1 species